AAAAAAAUAGAUAAAUAAAUAAAUCAAAGUUGGUUUUGGAUGUGUGUAGGUAGGCUAUGGUCUCAUGUCCCUUUAAGACGCUGUCCUACGUCAGAGACGUGACUCCACCCCAUCCAGUCCGUAACAAAGAGGUAAAGACAGGUGAGGAGAUGGAGGACGGUUCAAAAGUUGUAGCGGCUGAAGUAGAAGAAGUUAAUGUGGGAGGGGGUGAGCAGCUUGUGGAGUAGUUAUCGUCCAUUUAUCGUUAUUGUGAUAUAUCGUGAUAUUGAUUUGAGGCCAUAUCGCCCAGCCCUAACAGCAGGAUCAUUCUUCCAGUAAUUAGGUUUGCAUGUAGAUACAGUAGGUGCGAGGUUAGAUGCAGACACAUAUACCCUUUUCCUACAGUAUGAAACUCUUCUCUAUUAUAUAUUCUUUAACUUUUAACAUAUUCUCUAUUUUUUGGAGAGAAACAUCUUUUCGAUUCCUCUAAAUAAGGAAUUCUGAAAGUUUGGGAAACCCUGCUCUUGACUGUGUUAUGAUGGAUAAGUUGAUAUGCACUGAUGAAAACACCAAGAAUAACCUCAUAAAGAUGAUUUUAAUCCAUCCAUUUAAAGCUCCUGUGAGUAACUCUUUAAUUUUGUUCUGCUCUGCUGUGUGUGUCGUAAAUCAGUUUAAAGUGAUUUUUAUUAUAAGACUAUAAGACAACAUUGAUUUUUGUAAAUAUUUACUUUUGUGUAUGACCUCUUAUUUUAGGCUGAAAUUUAUUCGGGAAUGAGACCAUCCAGUUCAGAUAAGUGUUACGCUGUUUGUUGUUAAAAUAUUAUUCCUAUUUUUCAGCCCCCCCCCCCCCCCCCCCCCCCCAAAAAAAAGUGAUAAAAUCAAGAUCGUGAUUUUGCAAAAAGAAAAAACAUGAUAUGAAAUUUUUUCCAUAUCGCCCACCCCUACUUCAAGUUAAAAUCAGCAGCAUGCCACAAAACCGUCUGUAAUUCACCUUAAAGUAAAAAAGAUUUUGGAAAGUAAAUUAAUGAAGAAAUAAAAAGUGGGUUUAUUUUCCUCCAAGCAGCAAAUGCUCGAGUCAGAAGUUUGAAUCAUUGCCUGAGUGCGGAUUGCAGUUCCUUGAUGGUCCACUAGAGGCCGUCUACAAAGCCCAAGGAAUCCCCUCAGGUGGGUUUGUUCUGAUUCACUUCUGUUCACACACACAGGAGUCCUAACUCAUCCAUCUGAAGAUAUUAAAGUUCGAGUUAAACAUGAAUUUGUAGUUCAGUCAUGCUCCAGUCAUCGCCCGGUUCAGAGGUUUAAAACAAACCUCCAGAAACCUGCUCCAGAUGCUCUCUCUUUGUCUUCGCCUGAAUCCUUCUCCAAACUCCAGAACGCUCUGCUGAAUUUCAGGCCUACGCUCCACUGAGAGCUCAUACCUGGCCUUUUGAAUGUGACCUUUUUUUUAAUUAGUCUCGUCAAACAACCCAGAUCUGCGAGGCCUAAUUUCCAGCUCUGACAUUUAUUACUGCAACCUAGAGCUCAUGUCAUUGGCUCUGAAAUGUGCAUAAUAAAGGGCAAGACUGCGAUGCUGAAGAUGUUUUGAUUUCUACAUUGAAAAAAAAAAUAUCUGUAACUCUUGGCGUGUAUUGAGAAGGAGCUUUCGGAUUGAACAAAUCAUCCUCCGGAGGGAAACAGGAUCAGAGACUGUUCUCCGAGUCUCAGCCGGAGGAUUUAAUAAUCGGGAGCGUUCCUGUAAGUCCUCCAAGCCUCGCAGACACGGGACGAAGCCAAUUGCUUCCCAAAAGGAGGACGUUGGGAUGUUGAAAGGGGUCUGUCACAUUUCUGUUUCCCGUGUUCGAUUCACUGUCCAUGCUUGACUGGCUGGAUUUAAUGGCUUUGAAGGAAAAACUGGAGUUUCUUCUUCAUCUUCCUCUCCAAAAGAUGUGUUUAAAUAUAAACUCCAAAAGUCUAAUCCACGACAGAUCAGAAGAAACUGAAUUUACCGUAAAUUGGUCUGAAAACGAAGAGGAAACCGCAGAUUUCAGGAGCACGACAACUAUCCUCCAUGCAUCUGAACACAGAAAUAGAUUUGCCAGAACAUGUCUGGCCUUAUUCCCCAGCCAAUUGUCCUCGUGACAGGCGGAUAAAUGUGUGUCAUUUUAAGGACAGCUCUCCGGCGGGGGGCCUGUAGCUCUGGGAGAACAUGUACAUGUCAGCUCCGCAAACAGUCGGCGCCGUUUACUGCAGGCGUGACAAGUCUGCUCGUGCUUGUCUGUCUGUUUCUCUGCCUGCCUGUCUGUCCGUCUGCUGUAGUACUACACGCAUUUCAAUGAAUGAACUUCCUCCAGCAGCAGUAGCAGCAGCAGCAGCAGCGGGGGAGGCGCCCUUGUUCAAAGUCAGCGCCCUGAGCGAGUUAUCACACUUCAGGGAGCUGGCCUUUCAUACCUGCAGGAGGACGGGUCGCACCUGCACAUGCACCUCACACACGGCGCACUCACAUUUCUUUACAUGACUUGGAUCUAACCAGUCACACCGAGUCCAGCAUUUACAUUCACACACACACACAGCAGAUUGGCUUUAUGAGCAGGCUGUGGGCAGCCUUUAAGGCUCUUGGCAGGCUGUGUGUGUCUGUAUUCAUUGUCACGCCAACCUCCCAUAGGCGCAAAGCCUGCGAGGAUUUUCAGACCUGGAAUCCGAUCCUACAUGUGCGUUUUUAUGAGAAUGAGGACUUAAUAAGACGACCUCACCAAGAUUUGACUCUCAUUGGCUGCAGGGUGUCCACUACUUCCUGAGAAAGCACAUCUAUCCUAUCAGAUUUAUGAAGUCUCUGUUAUGUUGCCAGAGUUUUAAUUUAGACCGUGAACAGUCUGGACUAAAAAAUGAGUAACUAUGGCAACAGGGACUCAGUCAGGAGCUCAGAAUUGAUGCAGUUUGUCAACAAGAUAAAAUCACUCCUAAUCAGGGUAUGAAGCGUUUCUCUAAACCUCUUGACGAGGAAACGGCAGAUUAAAAACUGACAAAUGAAGAGUGAAGAGCUCGUUCUCCGUAGAGAUGUGAAUCCUAAAUCCAGUCCAAAGACAAGACCCUCAAAGCUGGCUAACUUUGGACCUCUUAUUGCCCUACGACGAACCAAAGACCCUGAGAGUUUCUGUUGAGUUUCCAAAAAUCAAUUCAGGAUUAGGGCUUAUUCCCAAAAAGGGGGCGGGGCUACAACUUAAAGACACAGUACUCCGAUGGGCCGCAUUUUCAGAGCAUAGAAUAGGAAAGCACUGCAAGACAGCUGGAGUUAGCUGAUAAACAAUGCAGCAUUUUAGCUAGGGCUGGGCCUCAAAUCAAUAUCAUGAUAUAUUGAUCAGUUCACCUCGACAACGAUAAAUGGACGAUAACUACUCCUCAAGCUGCUCACCCCCUCCCACAUUAACUUUGUCUACUUCAGCCGCUACAACUCUUAAACCGCCCUCCAUCUCCUCACCUGUCUUUCUUUUCGUCUCUGAUGUAGGACAGCGUCUUAAAGGGACAUGAGACGAUAUCCUACCUACACACAUCCAAAACCAACUUUGAUUUUUUUAUGUUUUUUUAACACCGAAUAUAUCGAUAUGGGCAAAAUGACCUCAAUUAUUGUCGUAAAUCUUUGUAUCUGUAAAUUUUCGGUUUAUCGCCCAGCCCUAAUUUUAGCAUUAGCAUUUUUCCUUUCUAGGAGACGCAGUAAAGAGCGGCAGAACCUCUUUCAAGUCAUUUUCUUUUAGAUUACGUUGUGUCUACUUUAGCUACUAAAGACCUACCUUUUCAGUUCGGCUCUUAGCUGAAUUUUUUUUUAAUCCAUCUGCAUUAUGUGCACUAUCAUCUUAUUUUAGUCCUAGAGUAGUUAUUUUGUGUUUUAUUACCUCUUUUUUUUUAUUUACUUUCUUUUAUUGUUAGAUUUUAAGACUUUUAUUUAAUUAACUUUUAACGCUUUAUCACCUUUAUUAUAUUUUAUCAUGGUUUUAUCGUUUAGUUUUUUUAACUCAAGAUAGCGUUUCCUCAGUCAUCUGUGGCAAGUUGAAGAGUCCUGGUCUUUUGCAUGUGCAUCUGUGUGUGUGUAAGUGCUGUAUGUGUUGGAUGGGGGUUUGGUAUUUGUAUCUUUAUUUAUUUUAUUUCAUUGUUUUUUUUAAUAUCCUGCGUGAAUGGACAGCACUUUGCGCUACAUCCAUGUAUGAAAAGUGUUUUAAAAAUAAAGUUUGAUUGAUUGAUUGAUAGUUUCUUCAAUUUGAUCAACAGUCUUUUUCACAGCUUUUUAAAAACUUGAUUGAAGUUUCAAAUAAAACUCAUGAAAGAAUAUCAACUAAUUUUUAUUUCUCCUGCAGUAAAUGGAAAUAAAAACGAAGUGGAAUAAUUCCUGAUGAGGCAUUUAUGAAGUGGGCUGAAGAGACCUCGCUCCAAUGUUCCCACAAACUACUGAUAAUUAUCUUCAACAAAUGAACUUUUUGUAAGAGUAAAAUAUUUAAAAAUGUCCCUGGUAGAAAUCAGUGAAAAACUCAUUGAUCGAGACGUUGCUUUUAUAGUGUAAAACUAAAUGUUUCACCAUAUUUGCUAGAUUUGAUUUCAGUCCCCUGGUUCCCGUGGCGUGGUGCAAUCUGAUGAAAGGAAAUCCAUUAAAAGCUCCUCUAUGGUUGUGGACUCGAACAUGUUUCAUAAAAAGCCAACAAAGGGCUGUGGAUGUCCUUGAGAGGAAAAAAAACUAUCAGGGGAAAAAAAAAAAGAAAUGCAAACAACAAAACCUGAAUCGUAUCUGUUUUUGAAAGCAGCCAUUCAGGGUCGACGGUGCAGUUCACCUUUCUCUUGAUCGCUGUCGCAGCAGCUCGUUAUAAUUCUGUUAAUGAGUGAUUUCAGCAAAAAUAAGGUCGUCAAAUGCCUAAAGAUUCACGGCUACAGAGAUGUGAGAUUUAUGAAAAAUGUUGAAAUUAACUUCUCAAAUGUCCGACUCUUCUCUCUGCAGAUGAUGUGGUUUUGUUAGCUACUACGGUCAGAUCUCCUGUAAGUCUACGUUGUCCUGUCUGUUUUCUUCAAUUUGCUGGAUGUCUCUUUCACUCAGCUCCUUUAACUUCCUGUUUUAACUCUCCUUACUCAUUUCUUCUCCGUUUUUCUCCUCUUUUCUGUCUUUUCUGCUGCUGACUAGUUUGGCAUCGACCUCCAAUUCUCUCCAAACAAACUGACGGUUAUAUUCAUCAAAAAUAUCCUCCAUGUUGUUUACUGACGCCAACAGUAAUCGAAGGUCUCAUCCAGUUGUCAACAGAAAGAGAUGUCUGGGAUCAGGAUGUCUCCAGUGUCACUUUUAAUUUUCAUAAUUAAGGUUUGGACCAAUUAGACUCGAGUCUUUAAGCUUUUACCAACCCUUGCUUUAGUUGGGCCUCUACAAAUGUAAUAUUAUAAAACAUAGAACAGUCAAUGACAUAUAAAGAGAUAAAGAAACCUACAUUUAUAACAAUAAAGCAGUACAUGAAUUGUACGCACCAGUACUAAUUCGUCUAUAAAUGCUGAAGUGCAUCUUUCAUUUGCUUUAAGACAGCUCUUAACCCUCAACUUAAAGGAUUAUAUAUCUUGAGAGUUAAGAAACAAACCCCAGCAGAUGACUGACAGAAAAUCAUGGUGUCAUCCACAAAAACUUAAAAACACAGAAUCAGUCUUUAUUCAAACGUGCAUAAAAAAACACAGUACAUAAACGCAACACUAAUCCAUCCUCUCUUUCCGCUAUGCAGAUCAUCUUCAAUGCAAUUAAAGGCUAUUACUGCACAUUACCCAUAAUCCUAUGACAUGUUUGAAGCAUGACGGCGUGCGGGGAGCUCUGCUGCUGUGAUGUCAUCAUACGCUGGCGGUUAUUUCUAAUAAGGAGGACGCGCUCAGGCUGAACGGCGACAGUUAGAGAGAUAACGAGAGUCAUAAUUAUACUACUUGAAAAAUGUGCAGCUGUAAUUAAUCAUAAUGAUGAAUGUUACUAAUCAUCCAUAAUAACACAGUGGAUUUUCUAUAUGAGUAUAACUCUAAACGAAACGUUCAAGCCAUGUCCGUAAAUUCAACUGUAAUAAUUUAAAGUGUAAAUCUGAUUAUUAAAUUUCCUACAGGGAGUCUGGAGGUUUGAAAGAAUAUAAAAAGAAAUAAACAUGAAAUUUUAUGUUUUGUUUGAAGAUAAUGUAAAAAAAAAUAAGGACUAAGACGACAUCACACUGAUGUAGGGCUGGGCGAUAUGGCCUCAAAUCAAUAUCACGAUAUAUUGAGCAGUUCAUCGCGAUAAUGAUAAAUGGACGAUAACUACUCCACAAGCUGCUCACCCCCUCCCAGAUUAAAUUCCUCCAUCUCCUCACCUGUCUUUCCCUCUUUGUUACAGACUGGAUGGGGUGGAGUCACGUCUCUGACGUAGGACAGCAUCUUAAAGGGACAUGAGACCAUAGCCCACCUACACACAUCCAAAACCAACUUUUAUUCAUUCAUUUGUUUUUUGACACUGAAUAUACCGAUUUGGGCAAAAUGACGUCGGUUAUAUUGUCAUAAAUUUCAGUAUCAGUGAAUUUUCAGUUUAUCGCCCAGCCCUACACGACUGUAAACCAAAAAAAGACACUAAAUGUAUUUUUUCUAAGUAUCGCUCUGAAAUAAACGACGCCUCUCUGUUAGUGUUUUCCUCGACACUCUUGUUUCAACCAAAAACUCUUUUUUUUCUCUUUCUGGACGUGACAUUUGAACACAUCAUGAUAUCGUAUUACUCUCGCCUAGUCCUCAUAUUACCGAUCCGACCUUGAACACCUCACAAUGUAAUCGCAUCGAUUCUAUUAAUGUGUGUACGCCAUUUAUUUUAAGAGCAAAACGUGAAGACUCAAAGGAGGCAAAACUGAUUCUUGGGUUUUGACAUGAGCAGAACUGGGUUUGUAAUGAAGGUGGGUUGAGUAAGCACUGUAUAACGACCAAUUCGGGACGCUGGUUAUGAUUUCAUUCACGCCAAAGUUCCACAGUUUCUCUCAUCAGUUAUCCUUCAGAAAAGCAAAAGAAACUUAUUUGACUUUCAUAUAAACCGAUCUAAAAAAGCAGAACCAUCCUCGGUUCGCUGAGCUCUUCACAUUUCUCUUUCCAACCCUCAAACCGACCCAAACUGAUGGAGAUGAAGUCAGUCUCACUGAAAAUUACUCACUAGUACAGAUUACAUCAUUGUGUUUCAUAGCAACAUCCCGGCUCACAAAAAGCUUCCCUUCAGGCGAUAAGUCUCUCUCUCUCUCGCUCUCUGUUACAAAAAUACAGACACACCAUCUCUCACCCUCAAGUCAUGACUCAGUAAAUCCACACACACCUCUCUCUCUCUCUUCCAGGUGUGAUAACUUUAAAGCAAACGCCGUGGCAGUAAGCUUUGGUCUCAGCAUAAAGGCGAAUCGACGGAGAAGGCGUGAGAGAUAAAGCUUCGCCAUGUGGACUUUCUUCUCUCGUGUCUUCUGUUAAUGAGCUACAGAAAAAAAACUCAAGUCCUGCAGUGAGACUGAUCAUCACAGACUGACCACAUGCAGCUCUUCUGAGCCAUAUGGAGGACGCCUUUAUGCAGAGUACCAUACUGUGCAAAGAUUGUUUCCCAUAGGAGGAGGCGAUAAUGGAGAAUGUUUGACAAAGGCGUAGAAACUAAACUCUAAUUCAACAGUCAUGAGUACAUGGAGCUAACUGAACUGGGACCAAUCGUGAUCCUUUAUUUCAGGAGACGUUUUCGUAAACAACCAAGAUGGCAGCUUCACCCGCAGGACGGUCAAAUGGAUCCACUUGGAUUGGAUUGAAGAGAGCAGGUCUUGGGAUUCUUCUUGGAAACCAUGAACACCGCAUCUACCUCUCUGAAGAAGAGGGAGAUCACCGAGGUGAAAGGGAUGUUCCAAGUUAGGGUCAAACACACCGUAACACCGAGUUAGACACCCCCUCGAGAGAUGGAUGUUACCGACCGCUUGCUUCUCUAGUUAUACCAACUUUAGUAACGACCGAAGGAUAGCAAUAGGUCAAACAGGUCAAUGUCUCCACACGCAAACCUCAACCAAAACGCCACUCUAUAGCCACAAAUAAUGCUCAGAACAGCACCUAACUUCAUCAACAGGACAUAAAGGGUCCCAGACAUAGUACUAUACACCAAACAUCUUUCUAACUUUGACUCAUUUCUUUAGCAAAGAGACUAAACACAACUCACCUACUCUCUUCCAGCAGACGCUUGUUUGUGGGGGAGCCCUCACGAGUCGAUCGCAUGGUGCAGCGGAGUUUUGCAGCUUAAGGAAGAACAUUUAUGAUAAUUACUUAAUGGAAACGCAAUCAGACUGAGACGCUAAGGCAGAAGAACUACAGCGUCUGCAGUGUAAAUGAUUAAUGUGGUGAUUUUUACUUCACUCAGCGAUCAACUCGUCAAGGCUCCUCCACAAACAAGCGUCUGCUGGAAGAGAGUAGGUGAGUUGUGUUUAGUCUCUUUGCUAAAUAAAUGAGUCAAAGUUAAAAAGAUGUUUGGUGUCUAGUACUAUGUCUGUGACCCUAUAUGUCCUGUUGAUGAAGUUAGGUGCUGUUCUGAGCAUUAUUUGUGGUUAUAGAGUGGUGUUUUGGUUGAGGUUGGCGCGUGGACCCAUAGACCGCUGUGUAUUGCUAUCCUUCGGUCGUUACUAAAGUUGGUAUAACUAGAGAAGCAAGCAGUCUGCAAAAUUCAUCUCUCGACGGGGGUGUCUAACUCGGUGUUACGGUGUGUUUGACAAGAACAUAAUUUUACGCAGAAUAUCCCUUUAAUAGAAGCGCACACUUCAAAAACUAAAUGCUGCAACACAGCGGUGAACAUUUCCCAGUCCAAACUUUCUUUAAACCUGUUGUUGGUGUCAAAAUUAAAACAGGCAGACAAGAUGUAGAUUAGAUAUUAAAAGAGCUACAACUUCAUCUGACUCCUUUUAAACCGUGAUCAGUUUCAAACAUCUCUGAUCAGCUUCUGAGGGCCCGACGACAGGAUUCGCCGCACAAGAAAUGACCCCCAAACCGAGCCGUGAAGAUCAUCAUUUUGCAAAUCCAUGUUUAACCCUUUGCUGAAGUAUAAUGCAAGUGGACUAAGUUUCUAAUCUUCUUUCUAUCCUUAUGAGUAACACCCUAAAAAAGUGUUAAAGUCGAUCUCCGGUUUCUCAUUAUGAACUCCUGAAAAACAAUUGCCUCUGAACACGUGUCCUGCUGCGUUUUUAAUCCCCCGUCGGCCAAUUUUAACACCAACAGCUCACAAAUUGACAGGAAAAAUAUACUCUUGAUGUGGCAGCUGUUUCCAGCUCUAUAAAAAGAGUGAAAGUUCAACUAUUCAGCGGCACAGAGAGCUGUGAAAACCUCAGAGUCAGCCACAGCGCGGUUACCGCAGCUGACAGGUGAUAAUAUCAUCAUUACUCACGUUUCGGUGGAAAAUCAGAGCACGUUAGAAACUUUUCUUCUGCUUUGAUGCACUCAGAGAGCGAGAGCGUGAUCAGUCGAGUUUAACACGCCAAGGACCACUUAAGAAACAGAAAGCAAAUACUGCACAAGCUCUCGGAGGGGUUCAAGCGUUUAAAGCAAAGCUCCGAAGACUCUGUAGGAGGAACAACACCUGUUUCGCUUCAUAACAAUGCCACAGGAGAGGAGUCGACUUGGAAAAGUUUGCUCAAAGCUGCCAUUUUGGACCGAUCCGAUCCCUAGACUUUCGGUUUGACCGGCUGUUCAAAUUUUCCAUCGCAGAAAAACAACGGAGCGUCUUAAGUAAAUGCUAAGAGGACAAACUGCCUUCAUUCCUGCCAACUAUCCCCUCCACACGUCCAAAUAACAGGGCCGCCUCAUAAAUAGUGCUCGCAGAAGGCUGAGGAGAGCUCUGCAGACAUUAUUACAGACAUCCUGUCACAUAUGGUGCUCAGCCCGACGUGCCAGCACACACUGUGGUCGGGCAAACGCGGCUGCAGACCUGGGGUCAGGACAAAUGGCCUCACUGGGUGUCUGUGCCAGACGAGGGUCACGGUUAAUCAGCAGUGAUGUACAACGGCGUGGGCGGGAACAGAAGUGCUGAAUCUGCUCCUCCGAAGAUCUGCGCACUCUUGUAAUUUCAACGUGCAAAACCAGAGGUCACAGCAAACUUGGACCCGUGUGAAUCCAGCCACUCUAAGAUGCUCUUCAUCUGCAGGAGGAGACCCUUAAGACUCUUCAUGAAACUCACUUUAAUUACAGGAAAGGUCCUCCGCGUUGGAGAUCACUCGAUCCAAUUCCUCGCUGACUAAAGGGUUCAGACACCGUCUCCCGGCUGAAGGUCACAGAUCUGAUAGCUGCAGCUGCUUGUAUCUAUGAAGGGCCUAAUUAAUUAAUUGAAACUCCACCAGCUCGCUCUGUGUGCAGAUGAGAGCCUCGCUUAAAUGCCAUUAAUUAAAUAUUAAAGCAUACAUGAAAGGUGGACAAGACGGCUGCUGCUAAACCUGAGUGACAGUCACUCUGACUUUAAUACAUUAUGCAUCAAAGACGAGCCGAUCCCCUGUUGUCGUUUCUGCGAGAGGUGAGAGGAAAAGCGCGGUCCUGACACGGCCUGCGGGGUCACUGAUCAAAAUCUUUGUGUUGUUCGGACCAGCAGUUUGACCUACAAGCUUCAUCUGCUGCACAUUACCUCCACCUUUUUCCAAAAUAGCCCCGAGCCCCAGGCUGCACACUCACAUCAAUACCACUGAGCAUCUUUUCAAGCUUGGUUUGGAGCUGAAGGAGAGAGAGAGAGAGAGAGAGAGAGAGAGAGAGAGAGAGAGAGAGAGAGAGAGAACAGAGGGAUGAGGGCUGGAAAUCAUGGAGAGCUGAAGGUAGAACUAGAAUGUGAGGAUUUGCCCUUUUCCGAGCAGUCAGUCCAACAAUAGUGGAAGAACAAUAAUGUGUGUGUUAGCUCUGUUAGCUCUGUCACAGACACUUUCAAACUCUCUUGGACUAAAAUCUGUCAAAUUAAUGUAAAAUGUGCUGUUUGAUCCAGCAGAGGGCACCCUCUUCGUAACCUGACCAUUGAAUGACAACCUUAACCUCAGCAAAUAAGUACAGUGUUGUAUUUCCACGACUAAAGGAGGACCUGAGUAUUCAAAACUGUGAGUUUUGUUGGUAAUUUGUUGAAGAUUAGGAUCUGACCAAGGUUAUCAUAGUUUGGGAUUUUUCAGAAUGGUUUAGUUUUAUUACGUUUGGACUUUUUUUCACUAAUUCAGUUAGUUUUAAUUAGUUUUUCUGAAUUAUUAGUUUUUAUAUAAGUUUGAGUUUUUCAUACUUGGUAAUAAGGUUAUUCACUCGUGCAGCACCAGGUGAUGUGAAUUCUGGCACGAGUGAAAAGAUAGCGUUCCUACGUGUUCAACUAACCAGCAGCUCUUUGGUCAUCAUUAGCUCCAUUUACACGGGUCCAAAAAUCCUAUUUACAAUCAGAUUGAAAGGUCAAUCAGAUUCAAAAUGUCUCAUAUAAACACCUUAGCCAAUCGGAUUCACCUGGAUCUGAUUGUAUUUCGGUUCAGAUUGUAAAAGGUAGUCUACGCCGAUUAAUAAUCCGCUCCAUGCUCCAUAUACGGCUGAGUGGUACGCUGAGCGUGCCCAAACGAAAACAAACAUGGCGAACAAACAGAAAAACUGCUGUGACCACAACACAAUAAGCUUCCCCAACAAAACACGACGCGGAUCCAUCUUUCUACAGGUAAACAGGAAGCAGGAAGUGCACCUCUUCUUCUCUUACACAUUUGCAGGUAGUGGCAGAGCGACCUUCUGCACAUGUAAAAAAAAACCAAUACAAUCGGAUUCAGCUGGGGCCAUGCAAACGCGGAUCGAACGUGGAUGUCUUUACUUAAAGUUCAUGUAGAUGGAAUCAGAUUCACUUAAUCCGAUUGAUUUCAAUCAGAUUGAGACAAACUACCCAUAUAAACGAGGCUAAUGAAAACUGUCCAUUAUUGUUGUCUCCUCCUUCCUGGAGUGUUCUCCUGGCUGAGAUGUUUCUUCUUUUUCAGGGGAGCUCCUCAGAGAUGCCACUUUGUUGAGGUACUCACGAUUAGCGUGUCUGUGUGAGCUUCUUAAAUGGACUUUCAGAUUUGUUUUCAGGGCUCUUGCUUUUGUCUUUCCCUCUGUUGUAUUUAAAGAAAUUUCAUAUCGGACUCUGUCGCUCUCUCCUGAGUUUUGUCGCCAUUUUGACAGGUAGAACGGUGCUGAGAAGCCGACUGUAAACAAGAAGUGAUGAACUGGGAGGUGCCGUACAGCACUGCUGGCUCAUGUAAAACUGCUCGAGUGAAAUAAAACAAUUUCAUAUCGAUCCGCUAUUGACAAAAACAAAAAUGAAGAGAUAUUUAUCUAUAAUUUUAUUACGUUUCAGUUAGUUAUCGUUUUUUUCUUUUAAUUAUAUAUUUUUUUUCUUUCAGUUAACGACGAUGUUUCUUCAAUUCUAGUUUUCGUCAUCUCGUUAGUUUUAAUUGGCGAUAAUAACCCUGGAUCUGACAGGUCACACAGAGGAAGUGCAUGAACACACUUACAGCUCGACCUCGCUGCUUCAUCCUCGCGUGUGCUUCAGCACGGGGGAAAAAUCUGCCUGGCAUCAAACCGUGCUCUAUGUGGUGACAGACUUCAGUAAUGGAAAAGCGUCUCAUUCAACCACCCGACCUCAACGGCACAAAAAAAGACUCGGCACUAAGAGGCGGUGAGUGAGGGAUUUCCAGAAACCCACUGACGACGAAGCCGCGGAGGCCUGCAGGGGCGAGAAGAUCUACACGGCAUCAGAAACCAGCGGCAAACAGGGCACUCUAGUUCUACAUUUACAUUUCUGUGUUCACGCUGUCUGCACGAUGCACAGCUUGAGAGCAUCCAGCGGUCACCUGAUUGUCAGCUACAUACUCGCAGUUGCAUGCAGGAAAUGUCAUCACUGAUUUAUCUAAUACGGGGGUUGCAGCCACCGUGUCUAACCAGUGCUUGGAAUGGGAAUGGAUUGAUCUGUGCAUCCAAUAACUCAAACCAGCCGUGGAACAAUGCUUGGUCAUGCAGAGAAAAAAGUGGAAAGACAAAAAAGAGGAAAGCGCCGAGACAAACAACAACAACAACAACAACAACAUGGCUGCUGCUGUGAGUGGAGAGAUUAUUCCCCGAAAAUGGCAGAGUCUCAGAUUUUUGGUGUUGGAUCUCAAACAAACCGCAGUUUUCAGAGUCAUGUCUUUGUCGUUUGUAGGUUUUUUUUUACUGCAUCAGUCUGUGAUCGUGGUUUUAGAGUAUUUUUGUAUAAAUCCAGCAUAUACAGACCUGCAACAAGUACAAGCAGGUAGCGGUCAGAGGCUUUAAUCUUCUCCACGAUGAGUAUGAUCACCCAGCUGCAGAGAAACAAAGGUGCACUCAAAGCUACACUUGAUCUCCAUCUGCAGAGACGCUCGUCAGCCCUGCUUAUCUUUGCAGAAUUUACAAACAAUCAAGAAGCUUCAGACGCUCUUGGAUCCCUGCAUGUAAGCCUGUUUUACAAACACUGAAACUGACACCACAGGAGACCCACUAAUUAAAGCUGUGCAUCACAUGUUGACUAUACGAUGCAAGUUUUAUUCAAAUUGGCUAACAUCGAUAGUUGGUGGUGUUGUUGAUCUCCUGAGGAUUUGACACUCGUGCAGCGUAAGUAAUUGGAAAGACUGUCUCAUCAAAAAAGUCAAAAGCUCCUCAAUGUAGCAUCACAAAAGUCUAUAAAUGCCGUGAAUUAAAUUUAAAGUCGCUCCAGUUUGUGCGCAAAAUGACACUUUUAAAAUACACAACACCGUACAUUGACAUUCAUUUGUAAAGUUGCACAAUCAAUUAAAACAGACUUCUGUUGUCGGCCCUUUUAAACCGUCAUUCCCACCGAUAUAAAGUCAGACGAAGCUUGUGGGUGUUACUUUUUACACAGUUUGUGGGCGUGUCCUUCAGUACUGCCCUAAUAGGACGGCAGAGCGUGACAUCAGGGUCGGGCAAGUCACAUGAUGUUCGUGAAAGAGGGUGUACAAGGAACAUGGAAAAUGUCCAGGGAUUCCUCCAACUGUGCAAUUUUGGAGUGGACAUACAAUGACAUGAUUAACUAGGGCUGGGCGAUAAACCGAAAAUUUACCGCUACCCAAAAUUUACGACAAUAACUGACGUCAUUUUGCCAAAUCGGUAUAUUCAGUGUCAAAAAAAAAAGUUGGUUUUGGAUGUGUGUAGGUCAGAGGCGUGACUCCACCCCAUCCAGUCCGUAAUAAAGAGGGAAACACAGGUGAGGAGAUGGAGGACGGUUCAAAAGUUGUAGCGGCUGAAGUAGACGAAGUUCAUGACGGAGGGGGUGAGCAGCUUGUGGAGUAGUUAUCGUCCAUUUAUCGUUACUGAGGUGAACUGAUCAAUAUGUUGUGAUAUUGAUUUGAGACCAUAUCGCCCAGCCCUAGAAAAGAGGCUGCAUCAUUGUGGAUGCUUCUGCUUCAUCAUAGCUGGUGUGUAUUUGGCGACACAGUGCUCAGAUGCUUCUCGGGGUAAACUCCAACACACUGUAUCCAAACUGUCAUCACGAUGUCUUAACUCACAGACAGCGACAACUGCACAGGGACGUGUUCUGGUGACAUUAUCGUUGGAACAACUUAUGCAGCUGUGUCAAUCAAAAGCUAUAAAUAACUGUCCACUUGGGUACUGCGGCUGUAGAUGCUCAAACUGAGACAAAAACAGCUUUUCUAUGAGCUGCUCGUGUUUGCAGAAUAAGCCGGAGUUUGUUUACCAUUUCCGUCUUAUUUCAGUCCUGCUGCUGCUGCUGGUGGUGUCCUCUGGGUCUGCAUGACACUGUAAACCCUUUAAUCACUGUCUGAUACUUACACACACACACACAGCAAAACAUCUCGUCCAAUUACUGAUUCAGCGUCAAUUAUUUUCUCAUACGGCGGCUUUGAAAAGUUACUCACUGCAGUUUAACUCGGACUGGAUGUGCGGAGGUAAGACGGCUGCCUUCAAAGCUACUCUGCUGGAGUUAGCAUUCAUUUCUCAUCAUGGGCUUGUCGAGUGAAUGUAUUAGGGCUGGGCGAUAUGACCUCAAAUCAAUAUCAUGAUAUAUUGAUCAGUUCACCUCGAUAACGAUAAAUGGAUGAUAACUACUCCACAAGCUGCUCCUCCCCUCCCACAUUAACUUCUUCUACUUCAGCCGCUCCAACUUUCUCUCCGUCCUCCAUCUCCUCACCUGUCUUUACCUCCUUGUUACAGACUGGAUGUGGGUAGCCUACCUACACACAUCCAAAAACCAACUUUUAUUUAUUUAUUUUUUUGACACCGAAUAUACCGAUGUGGGCAAAAUGAUGUUGAUUAAGGGCUGCACGAUAUAUCGUUUGAGCAUCGUCAUCGCGAUAUUCGUGCGCAUCGCUAUGACGAUUGCAGAGCCUGCGAUGUCGGAGGCGAAUGAACUCAUCUAAUUUCAAGGGAAGCUGACUGAGACACACUCCAUGUGACUCUGCAUGUGCUGUGCAGCGAUCCAUCAAUUACAUUCGUUCUUUCCUCAGUUGCCAAUCAGACUACCCUGACAGCCGUCAAUCAAUACCAGAGAGGAGGAAACCACGCCCCUGCACAUGGAGUGAGUCGCUACUGCUGCCGAGAAAUGCAUACCCGCCAAGAAUUACUUUACUAAGCAGUGCGCGUUUUGCGAGGUGCAUGCAAUUCUCGGAGGACAUGCGUUUCUCGGCACAACACCGCUAACAACAACAACAACGAUCGCAAAAUGAACAACGAACAAGCGAAAACCACCGAAAAUGAAGAUUUGUUGCCAAAAAGAAAAGGAAAGUCAGUUAUCUGGAAUUAUUUUGGUUACAAGAAAGUCCAAAACACGUGUUCUGUGUUCAUCUGUUGCCACAAGAACGUCCCAGCACAAUAAAAGCUAAAAAUAUCUCUGAGAGAGACAGAAGCCGUUCUACUAACAUUCACAAAAAGAGGUAAGAUCAGAGCAGAUUAACUGUCCUCAAGAUUUCAGCAGAAAGUGAUAUUCAGGUCAUCUGGUGAAAAUUCCUCGAUUUUUCAAUAUGUAUCGCAGGGUUGGAAAACAUUGCAGUGUUAGUUUUUUCCAAUAUCGUGCAGCCUUAUCUCGGGUAUUGCUGUAAUUUUUUGGUUUAUCGUCCAGCCCUACUCUAUACCCUCAGUAAAAAUAAGGCCCACCUCAUUGUUGUGUUCAGUGAUUUUCCACUUAACCCCAAACUUCUUUUAGAUUGAGAGGUUCGCACCCGUCGACACCAGCAGCUCCCUCUUUGAUACGUCCAAACUCCAUCAUCGCGAACUCUUGACCUCGAGUGAACCCUGCCACCACUCAAACCUCAGGAUACAAGCUAACUCCUUUCACUUCACCCGCGGCUAACCCCGAGCGCCAACCCACCACCGCUUUGAUGGUACGCCUGAUGCCAUGAUGAUUGUUGUGCGAGGAGAAGAAGCGGUUUGCUUCCCUUUGUGUCAGCAACUUUUACCGGGGCUGCGGCCAAAUCCCCCCCUAAGACGUUCACGCACACACAAGUGGAAUCAAACACAGCUAAACAAAAGCAUAUCCAACCACUAAUUUUAUUUCAGAGGUUUCACACACAAACAAUGAGGAGUAAUCCAAAAGCCGGAGCUCCUUACGGGCAGGGAGAGGAUUUACUUUCACAAUCACGUGUUGCAUUGUGCAACAGACAAACACACCAAGAGCUGAUUAAGGUUUCCUCGAGAAUUCAGGAUGUCUUACCUGCAGAAGCUAAAAGACAGACUGAACGAGGAGGGAACUAGGUUAAUGAAAUGUGUGUCACCGAGAGCCACGUUAAAGAUCCGAAUGGAGAUGUAAGUCUAAUUGGGGAUGAUGCUCCCGGCUGACAUGAUAAGAGCGUGUGAUGUGGAUGUUGUAGUGCCAGGAGAGAAGACAUGCAGAAACAAAGGGAGCGGAGUAAAAUGUAAAUCAGCCGACUUCAUUCCCUGGAAAAAAAAAAAGGGUGAUGUGUACGUGUGUUAAAGUGGCGACGCCGAGGGGGGAGCUGCUGUGAUAGUGCCACAGUCUGCACAGGGUUGAUCUGUAUGAGAGUGUAGAGAAGAUCACAAAUGUAGAGUGAGAGCCGAACUUCAACUCCUGACCGAGGUCGACAAUAAAAAGGCGACUCAAGCGCGGGCAGGAGGAGGAGCGACAGUCGACAAGAACAUACGGUGCCGACAGCAUCAGUUUGGACCGGGCGAUCUGGUUAAAAUAAAAAGUAUCACAAUAUUUUCUGUCAUAUUGUCUGAUCUCGAUUAUCACAAUUGUUUUUUGUAUUUUUUUAAACUGCCAGAGAUUAUUUUAACAUUUUAUUAGACGCCUUGAUGAAGACGCCAUGAAACGUAAACAUUAGACGAUGUAAACGUAGAUUAUAAGGUCGAUUGCUGCUUUGGUCUGAUGGCUGCACCGCUAGUUGUAGCUAAACUGCUAAUGCAAUUUUAUGCUUUCCGCAUAAUCAUCCAGGAAGAACUUCUUCAAAUGAUUAAACAGAUCUGUUUAGGGUGACCAUAUUCUGAAUCACUACAAAGAGGACACUUCUACGCGGGGCGGAGUCGCACAAAAAAUUUUGAGCGUUUUUCUGGUUUGGGUCGAGUGUUUUUUCCGUGGUUCUAACUCGGUUAGUCCACGGUUCACAAACUCAAAACUUCCACACCAAACGCCGGACAUUUGAAGGAUUUUAUAAAGUCCCCUGGACAGGCCGGACAGCCCCCAAAAAGAGGACAUAUCCGGGUAAAAGGGGACGUCUCACAGACCUUAGAGUCUUUUAAAUCCUCUUUAAAGACCCACUUUUUCUCCCUUGCUUUUAAUAAAUGAGCACACAGGAAUCAGAGGCACUGUAGCUUUUAUUCUUCUACUGUCUCUAUUUUAUUUUACUGUUUAUAAUUUUAUUUCUUUUAUUGUUAUCUAUUUACUUCUUUUAUUUAUCCCAUGUACAGCACUUUGUUUGACUGCUGUCUUUUAAGGUGCUUUAUAAAUAAACAUUGACUUGACUUGACGUAUGGUCACCCUAGAUUUGUUGUGUUGCCGGUUUUUGAGGGCACCGACCGCCAAAAUACUUUGCCCAUCGGCUAAACUGCUUGACGUCACUUUAGAGAUACCCGAACCAUGGCACCACCACACAACCGACACUGAGUAACUUUUCUCCUCAACUAUGGCACCUUUGGACGAUGACUCAAAGUCACGGCUGACAUUUAUUUUGCAGCCCUCAGCUCCACGUUCGGUCAUUCUGUUUACUUCUCCGGCAACGUACAGAAAUGAGCAGGAAAAGCUUAACUCUGAUUGGCUGUCACUCAAAUUUUCGCCAUGUUUGAUCAAGUAAAUAUGCUGACAGCUAAUCACCGUGAUUGAACUGAAAUUUAUCAUGAUCAUAUAAUCGCCCUGUCCUGGCAUCAGUCUUCACCAACCUGAUCAGAAUAUAUGAUAUAUUCCCACCACAACGAGGGGAUUUCAGCCCACUUUACUCCACUCCUCAUCCCUUUAAUUAAGGUGGGGGCUUUCCUGAGAGUGCUGCAAGGCUCCUCGCUGAAGUCCAUCUCCAUCUCCCUCCAGUUACCGUGUAAUGUGCCUGCUUCAGCACUUGCCUUCCCACUACAAGAUCAUUAAACCGCCAUGCCAUUCAUCAUCUGCGAUCUGCUGCUGAGAGCGACACACACCCAAGUCUCCUUUCUCUGUGUUUAAUACACUCCCCGUUUCAAUGUCAAACUCGGCUUAAAAUGAGAGCGGAGACGAAUGAGGCUGAUGUAAAUAAGAGCUCAGAGCGGAUAUUUCUGCCACAUUCACACUGAUGGCUUAUCGGUCUUCCGGCAAAUGACAUAAAAAUGCAGAUUCAUGCCAUUUGAGCGCUGCAGAGUGGUGAUGUUUCAUAUUAACACAUUAGCGUGAGUCAGGGCUGAAAAAGGGUCCAUUUAGCCCUCUGAUACCCCGACUACACAUCAGAGGGAGGCUGUCCGGGCUCUGCUAUCCUUCUCACGCAGCUCCAAGUCUAUUUCCACCCUCUCUUUUCUUGUAGCUGUUAAACCGGAGCUUGUUCCUGCCGUGUAGACGGCGUUUUGGGCAUCAAAGUAAAGAGCGUGUUUAUCAGUCCUGCCAGUCGGAGUGAAUGUAAAGAGCCUGUUAGUCAGCGAUUCUCAACAGCACCUGUGUGCAACAACAGACUGUAUCAGGGCUCGGCUGGCUCUGACUGAAACCAGAACCUGCUCCAGAACAAAUGAAAACCAUCUCUACAGAAUCAGACUGAAUCUGAGGUGAUCAUGAGGAGUGUUGAGAUCAUUUCAGCUUCUUUAACUAUUAUUGUUUCCUGUUGGAGCGCAGUCAUAUCCUGUCAGAAACACUCGAAUGCACCACAGAAAAACAGACUUAUUUAACAUAUUUAUUUACUCUGGGAACUAUGAACACUAGUAGUUGUUGCAACACUUCCAAAGCAUUCAAUACUCGAAGGUAUUACUCUUGCCUAGAGUGAAAUAUUUUAGACUCUGCGAUGCUGAUUCCCAUCCUAGAACAGCUCUAGAGCCCAGUUUAGCAGUCAGUUUUCCCCAGACCUAACGCCAGGAUGUGACCGCUGCAUCUUAUUCAUGCUUUCUGUCGUUCCCAAUCUCUAACAUAAAAUGCACUGAUUGGAAUAGGAAUGGGCACAAUUAAUCGAUGAUUAAUUGAUCAUUUAGAUCGAUCUAACGUUACUAAAAAAAGGGACAGCGUGCGUCCAUCCUCUAGCUGCUUUCCAGCAAAGAUCAACCUCUUUGUCCAGUGUGCAUGUGUGUGUGUUGAUAUGACUCUCACCACGCGGAAGGAUCUGGACAUUUUAAAAGGGGAGUGAUACAGCAUCAGUGGACUUCCAUACAAGUCGGGAAAAAAACACGAGGAAAGCAAGGCUGCAAAUACAGCAAUGCCAUGUACAAGUACAACACAAUAACGACUCCAAUGAUGGACCGCUUGAACCAAAACAUCUGACUGAGGUUAAUGAAUCCUCCAAGCGCUCUCAGCUUCAACCUACCGUCAGCUCUUUGCUAGCAAGGAGGAACUGUAGGGUGAGCAGACGUCCCCGUUUUUGGUGACCUGUCCCCGGCAAAAUCUGUCCCUGGAAAUGUGCCCGAUUUUAGCGUUUCAUGAAUGGGAGAAAAAACAACAGUUAUUAUGAUAGCCGCGUAGGUAGGAAGUGCUGGUGAGUAUGUAGUGCACGGUCCUGAACAACAGUUGGCAUAUUUCAACGAGGAAAAACACGUUUCUUCUAGAAACCAACCAAAUCAAUGAUUGAUCAUUAAUUUAUAUGAUUAAUCGAUCAAGGGACUUCCUUUCCUCGUUUGGAAGAUGAUCCCAGCAUGUUUCGUGCCACAGGGGUGAAUUUGCAGUCACAUCCGAUCUUGUGUUGGUGGUCGUGAUUUGCAUUGCCGAGACAAAUUAAAGCACCAUCUGCCUUUGAUUCAAGUCCGAACCAUUGGAUGGGACGCAACCUGCUUUCUAGGUGUUAAAAAAACAGGCAUGAAAGAGACACCAAACUCUGGUAAACUGGACGUGUUGAGUGGGACUCUCAGUCAGACUAACUUUGCUUUCAUGUGAGCGUGACUUUCCCACGACUUGAGUAAACGCCUGGCAUAAAAAAGGGUCGAGUAGUCCGAUCUGCGUGUUUGAUGAUCCUCACAUUUUAACAGCUGAGUCCACCGGUGCCUUAUUGACAUCUAACAUAACCUGGCUGACCUGCUCCUGCCUCCAAUCGGACAGGACCUCCAGAGUGAGUGUGACCCACUCCAGAUUCACCAAAUCCCACACACUGAGAGUCUGCUAGUGCUGCAGCUUUAACCAUUUAUACAAAUCGAGGUUUCUUUCUCGACUCUACCACCUGUUUUUCCGUCACCUGUAGCAUCAGGUGAAAGUCCCGAUGUGACGGCGUCUAAACCGUCACCUUCCACACCUUCACAACAAUCUCUCAUCGUGUUUGAGGAUUUAUCCACAGCUCGCGGCUGCUCAGGGACACAGGGCGUUAUCUGUCACGACAGGUUCAUUCAGCAUCCUCAAAGAGCAGCUUCGCAGGCCAUCAGUGUCACGAGGCUCUCGGCCCUGACAAACAAUCCCCGCCUCCUUCUCUCGCUGUGUCUCGUAUUAUUCCCCGAUUCCUGUGUCUUUGUCUUCUUUGUCUUCCCGUGGUGUUUGCUGAAAGCUCUUUAGGAGUUUGCAAACCCAGCAGAUUCAGACGAAGAUGCAUGACACCGCAGGAAAACAUUUGGCCAUUGAUCAAUCGAGAGGAUCUAAUAAUUAUCAGCAAGAGCAUCACAUGGCCUCCCUCCAGGUACGACUUCCAGUCUGAUUCAUCAGAUGAGAUGACAAUGGAGCUAAUCGAUGCUGAUGGGAGAGCAUGUCGCUGUUCUCUAUCAAAGCUGUUAAAGCCUCGUCUGCAGAGAUUUUACCCUAAUUUAAUCUGACGCCGUAAAUGAAAUAUCUUGAGCCGUCAUUGAUCUCAGAGAAGCGAAGGGCGAGGAGAGAGGCUGCAAAAUGAAAGCUCUGACACGGGAGAGGAAGAACGAGAUCGAAGGAGACGGGAGAGGAGAAAGAGAGGCAGUUCAUUUUUAAACGUGGCGAGGAAGUAAGAAGAAAGACAAUUACAGAGGAGAAGAGAGAAAAGGAGAGAGCUGCAGGACAAGAGAUAAAACUUGAGAACAAUCAAAGCAGUCGGGAAGAGAGGACGGAGUGACGACGAAGAACUGAGUGUCGAGACCAAAGCUUGGAGACGAGGUCAAGUCCCUCGGGUUUGACUGAACUCACCGCCGUCUGCUUCAGAGACGACUGCAAACUGCAAUCAAUUCAAGACGUAGUAGCUCCUCAGCAUCACUUCCUACUGCUUACAGCCAGACGCUGGGAUGGUAUCAUUAUCCUGCAUGUCACAUCUCAACUCUUAAAGGGGGUUAGGCAGGAAUAUACUGGCUCAACAUACACAACAGUAUAACGCAAGCCUUCGCUGAAUUCUAUCGCUAAUCACGCCAUCAUUACCUCAAUUCUCUGUGCUGCAAUGCUUAUGACAUCAUGUGACUUCUAUCCCAGCUCUAGAGGCUUAGUGUUGGAUGUAGGGCUGGGCGAUAAAACGAUAAUGAUAUCAAAAAUUAAUUUCCCUCGAUAUCGAUAUAAAACAUGGUCAAUAUGCUUUUCGAUAGCGCUGAACCAACCAUUCAGUCCGCUUUUUCUAGUGCAACGCCUUACGACAAAACGUCGAAGAGACACAAAGACGUCACAGAUGCAGUAGCUUAUUGUAUUGCAAAAGACAUGCUGCCAAUAAACACUGUGAAAUGUCACUUUUAUAUCAUGAUAUUAACUGAUAUCGACUGAUAUGAAAAAAAUAUAUCAUGAUGAACUUUUCCCAUAUCACCCAGCCCUAGUUGGACCCUAAAAACAAACCUGCGUUACUCAAAAUUGAGUCUCCUCUUGAUUCAAACACUAUGAAUGUGCAGGAUAUUUGCACAAACGAGUCUUUUCAAGUUCCAAAUGCGAAAACAUUUCAGUCAGCGCCAGAAAAAAAUGCUGAGGUUCAACACUCAGACUUUAAAGCUCUGAUAGAAGUUUCGGAAAGUAACUGAAUGGAAGCUGAUUUAUCACAAACAGCGAGCAGAAAACAGGAAAAACAAUAUAAUAGAGAUAAUAAAGAAAAGCCAAAAAGCCAGAGCAACAGAGAGGAUGAUCAAAGCCAAAACCACCGAGAAAACAGGGCUGAGGCAGAGCGAAGACAGAAACCAGAGCUCAUAAUGUGACACAAAACCCAGAGAGACAAUAAAAUGAAGACUUCUGAGCUUCCAGCUAAAAAUCGGGGUUUUUACUCUGUCAGAAAAUUGAAUGGGGUUUCAGCCAGAUCAUAGAGCAAAUUAGAAACCUAUUCAGCCGAAAUAAGAGGACUUUUAUGGGAAAGGCAAACUGCUUCAGUAUGGGAAAGAAUGAAACGGAGUUUGGUUCAACAAGUUUAGGAGGAUUUUUGUCCUGAUCAUAUCAGCUGAACCAGCUAAACGGAUAUCAAACUCUGACAAGCAUCACUGUGAGGUCUUUAAAAGCUGACAGAUCAAACUGUGUGGGGUUCAAUCGAGAUCGUUCAAACCAACAUGUCAGCCGUUAUGAGUUUGAAUCGACUUUUAUCCAAAGAGUCACAGUUUUGAAAGACUUCUGUCGAACUGAUUCAUGGGGUUUAGAUGGUUUUACAAGAACGUUUAGACAGCACAUAAAAGUUAGAUCCUAUCAAACAGCUCUACGCUUACGUAUAUUAGAGGAGAGCAGGGAGAGGAGGAGAGAGGAGAGCAGGGAGAGGAGCAGGAGGAAGAGAGAGGAGAGCAGGGAAAGGAUCAGGAUUAGGAGAGAGGAGAGCAGGGAAAGGAUCAGGAGGAGGAGAGCAGGAGGACGUGAGAGGAGGGCAGGGAGAGGAGCAGGAGGAGGAGAGAGGAGAGCAGGGAGAGGAGCAGGAGGAGAAGAGAGGAGAGCAGGGAGAGGAGCAGAAGGAGGGGAGAGGAGCUAGGGCUACUAGGGCUGGGUGAUAAACAGAAAAUUUACCAAUACUGAAAUUUACAACAACCAGUGUCAUUUUGCCCAUAUAGGUAUAUUCAGUUUAAAAAAAAUAAAUGAAUAUAAGUUGGUUUUGGAUGUGUGUAGGUAGGCUAUGGUCUCCUGUCCCUUUAAGACACUGUCCUACAUCAGAGACGUGACUCCACCCCAUCCAGUCCGUAACAAAGAGGGAAAGACAGGUGAGGAGAUGGAGGACGGAGAGAAAGUUGGAGCGGCUGAAGUAGACAAAGUUAAUGUGGGAGGGGGUGAGCAGCUUGAGGAGUAGUUAUCAUC